rnacentral:rRNA from 2 species
CGCCUCCUGCAAAACUCAAUGUAUAGGAGGUCUUACCUGCCCAGUGACUACAAGUUAAACGGCCGCGGUAUUUUGACCGUGCAAAGGUAGCGCAAUCACUUGUCUUUUAAAUGAAGACCAGUAUGAAUGGUUAAACGAGGGCCUAACUGUCUCCCUACUCUAGUCAAUGAAAUUGAUCUGCCCGUGCAGAAGCGGACAUAAAAAUACAAGACGAGAAGACCCUUUGGAGCUUAAGAUAAAAAACCAAUUAUAUUAAUACCCCCAACAAGGAGCUAAACUAAAUAACCCACUGGUCUAAAUCUUCGGUUGGGGCGACCACGGGAAAAAACAAAACUCCCAUGUAGAAAAGGGAAUACCCCUAAAGCUAAGAGAGACAUCUCUAAGAAACAGAAACUCUGACUAUAAAGAUCCGGCCACACACCGACCAACGGACCAAGUUACCCAAGGGAUAACAGCGCAAUCCCCUUCCAGAGCCCAUAUCGACAAGGGGGUUUACGACCUCGAUGUUGGAUCAGGACAUCCUAAAGGUGCAGCCGCUAUUAAGGGUUCGUUUGUUCAACGAUUAAAGUCCU